GACGAACGCUGGCGGCGUGCUUAACACAUGCAAGUCGAACGGAAAGGCCCUGCUUUUGUGGGGUGCUCGAGUGGCGAACGGGUGAGUAACACGUGAGUAACCUGCCCUUGACUUUGGGAUAACUUCAGGAAACUGGGGCUAAUACCGGAUAGGAGCUCCUGCUGCAUGGUGGGGGUUGGAAAGUUUCGGCGGUUGGGGAUGGACUCGCGGCUUAUGAGCUUGUUGGUGGGGUAGUGGCUUACCAAGGCUUUGACGGGUAGCCGGCCUGGGAGGGUGACCGGCCACAUUAGGACUGAGAUACGGCCCAGACUCCUACGGGAGGCAGCAGUGGGGAAUAUUGCACAAUGGGCGGAAGCCUGAUGCAGCAACGCCGCGUGCGGGAUGACGGCCUUCGGGUUGUAAACCGCUUUCGCCUGUGACGAAGCGUGAGUGACGGUAAUGGGUAAAGAAGCACCGGCUAACUACGUG
rnacentral:rRNA from 1 species